rnacentral:rRNA from 1 species
CCUACGGGUGGCUGCAGUGGGGAAUAUUGGACAAUGGGGGCAACCCUGAUCCAGCCAUGCCGCGUGUGUGAAGAAGGCCCUCGGGUUGUAAAGCACUUUCAGUGAGGAAGAACGCCUGGUGGUUAAUACCCAUCAGGAAAGACAUCACUCACAGAAGAAGCACCGGCUAACUCCGUGCCAGCAGCCGCGGUAAUACGGAGGGUGCGAGCGUUAAUCGGAAUUACUGGGCGUAAAGCGCGCGUAGGUGGCUGAUAAGCCGGUUGUGAAAGCCCCGGGCUCAACCUGGGAACGGCAUCCGGAACUGUCAAGCUAGAGUGCAGGAGAGGAAGGUAGAAUUCCCGGUGUAGCGGUGAAAUGCCUAGAGAUCGGGAGGAAUACCAGUGGCGAAGGCGGCCUUCUGGACUGACACUGACACUGAGGUGCGAAAGCGUGGGUAGCAAACAGGAUUAGAUACCCUAGUAGUC